rnacentral:rRNA from 1 species
AUUGAACGCUGGCGGCAGGCCUAACACAUGCAAGUCGAACGAGUGGCGGACGGGUGAGUAAUGUCUGGGACACUGCCCGAUGGCGGGGGAUAACUACUGGAAACGGUAGCUAAUACCGCAUACCAUCGGAUGUGCCCAGAUGGGAGUAGCUAGUAGGUGGGGUAAUGGCUCACUUAGGCGACGAUCCCUAGGUGGUCUGAGAGGAUGACAGGCCACACGGGAACUGAGACACGGUCCAGACUCCUACGGGAGGCAGCAGUGGGGAAUAUUGCACAAUGGGCGCAAGCCUGAUGCAGCCAUGCCGCGUGUAUGAAGAGGGCCUUCGGGUUGUAAAGUACUUUCAGCGAGGAGGCGUUACUCGCAGAAGAAGCACCGGCUAACUCCGUGCCAGCAGCCGCGGUAAUUC